rnacentral:rRNA from 1 species
ACGCUCGACACCUACGGGAGGCAGCAGUGGGGAAUAUUGCACAAUGGGGGAAACCUAGAUGCAGCGACGCCGCGUGNGCGAAGAAGUAUUCGGUAUGUAAGACUCUAUCAGGCAGGAANAAAUGACGGUACCUGACUAAGAACGCCCCGGACUAACUACGUGCCGGCAGACGCGGUAAUCUGAGCGGGCUGGCAAGGC